GCAAUGAUGGUUUAGUGGUAUAAUUAUCGCCUGCCACGCGGUAGUCCCGGGUUCGAUUCCCGGUCAUUGCA
rfam:Rhizoclosmatium globosum strain JEL800 BCR33scaffold_37, whole genome shotgun sequence.